AUUGAACGCUGGCGGAAUGCUUUACACAUGCAAGUCGAACGGCAGCACGGACUUCGGUCUGGUGGCGAGUGGCGAACGGGUGAGUAAUGUAUCGGAACGUGCCCAGUCGUGGGGGAUAACGUAGUGAAAAUUACGCUAAUACCGCAUACGAUCUAUGGAUGAAAGCGGGGGACCGUAAGGCCUCGCGCGAUUGGAGCGGCCGGUAUCAGGUUAGGUAGUUGGGGGGGUAAAGGCUCACCAAGCCGACGAUCUGUAGCUGGUCUGAGAGGACGACCAGCCACACUGGAACUGAGACACGGUCCAGACUCCUACGGGAGGCAGCAGUGGGGAAUUUUGGACAAUGGGCGCAAGCCUGAUCCAGCCAUUCCGCGUGCAGGAUGAAGGCCCUCGGGUUGUAAACUGCUUUUGUACGGAACGAAAAGGUCCUGGUUAAUACCUGGGGCUCAUGACGGUACCGUAAGAAUAAGCACCGGCUAACUACGUGCCAGCCGCCGCCGUAA
rnacentral:rRNA from 1 species